CAAACUUUGGGAAGAGCAAACCUACAGGGAUCUCCUAAAGGGAAAAUGCUCCAUGGCUGAGGGGCUGAGCAGGCUGAGAAUUCUCUUUAGGUCAUUUUAAAUUUAUUUGUUUAAAGGAAAGAUGCAGGAUGCCAAGAGAGUCUGUACAGAAACAAAGGGAGAGGUGUUUUAUGAGGAAGAGCUGCAGUGGCAAGAGGAAUUUGCGUGAAAUUGAAGAAAGGGCUGAAGAAAACAGCUUUGGAUUGCAUCCACUCCAGCCCAGAGGAGAUGUGAGUACAGCACUCAUUUACUUGUGCUUCAGGAGCUCGUUUGCUAAAGAACAAAGAGCCCAGUGCCAGAAAAUGGGAAUUAGGAGUGAGAGGAAGGGCUGAGCUCCCCAGGUGUGAGUGAAGAGAGAUAACUGCAAUUAAAAGUGGAUUUAUUGCAGAAGGGAGGAAAGAGAGAGCCCUGAUGGGUCUUGCACAGGGUGCCAGGGCAGGAGUGACGGCAGGACAGGAAACUGAGGUGAGACAGAGGG
rnacentral:lncRNA from 1 species